UUGUUUUGCUUUUUUUGCUUUUUAUUUUUUAUUUUUUAUUCCCUAUACGGCUUCUACAUCCAUUCUGUCUUUUAGACUCCCAGAUGCAGCAUUUUCCAUUCUUAGACAGAUACCUCUGUGGCCCUGAACAGGAGUUUGGCAGCAUGAAGAUCUCUUUUCCUGGAUAUGGUGUAGCAACAGUUCGCUUGUGAGACCUAGAAUCACCUAUGGCCUCCAGUCAAUCAUCAUGUGUUGUUGAUGAGUUGCAAAUCGAAGCACCAACUUGUUGGUGUGGGUUGAAAGCCCCAUUGAAGACCUCCCAUACUAAGAAAAAUCCUGGAAGGAAAUUUUACGCCUGCCCGAAGUAUAACACGGGAGAAGAAAUGUGUCAAUUCUUUAUAUGGGCAGAUAUACUUCAAUUGGUAGAGGAAAAAAUACGCACAAGAGAGAAUGCAGCUCGAAAAAGGGAGGAUGAUUUACUAUUGCGCGAGUAUGAAGUUCAGAAAACGAAAGAUAAACUUGUUGAGAGAGAGAAUGUUCUUUACAAGCAAGAGAAGAAAAUUGGAAAGCAGCUCGUAGAGAAUAGAUGUGCACGAAUAUGUUUAUGUAUUUAUUGGGUGUUAUCAAUUGUAAUAAUAUUUGGUUGCCUUGGACUAUAAAUGUACUUUUGAAGAAGUACAUUGUAGAUAGAUGGUACGGAUUAAUGUAUAUUAAUUGUACUAAUUGUAUUAAUGUUAAUGCCUA